rnacentral:rRNA from 14 species
GUAGUCAUAUGCUUGUCUUAAGGAUUAAGCCAUGCAUGUCUCAGUACAAACGAUUUUGUAUAGUGAAACUGCGAAUGGCUCAUUACAACAGUUAUAGUUUAUUUGAUCGUGCGGUACUACGUGGAUAACCGUAGGAAUUCUAGAGCUAAUACAUGAACCAUUUGUUCGUUUUUUUCAAUUCUUUGAAGGGUAAAACCGAAAUCGAUAAAAAAAACGGGGAUUUAUUAGAUCAAAAAACCUAUCGUCUAAUCUUUAGACGUGGCGGGAGGAAUCAUAAUAACUUUCCGAAUCGCAAGGCUGUGAUUUGGCCGGCGAUAUAUCAUUCAAAUUUCUGCCCUAUCA